UACAGAGGGGGCAAGCGUUGUUCGGAAUUACUGGGCGUAAAGGGCGCGUAGGCGGCCUUCUAAGUCGAACGUGAAAUCCCUGGGCUCAACCCAGGAACUGCGUCCGAUACUGGAAGGCUUGAAUCCGGGAGAGGGAUGCGGAAUUCCAGGUGUAGCGGUGAAAUGCGUAGAUAUCUGGAGGAACACCGGUGGCGAAGGCGGCACCCUGGACCGGCAUUGACGCUGAGGCGCGAAAGCCAGGGGAGCAAACGGG
rnacentral:rRNA from 1 species